UUGAACGCUGGCGGAAUGCUUUACACAUGCAAGUCGAGCGGCAGCGCGGGGCAACCUGGCGGCGAGCGGCGAACGGGUGAGUAAUAUAUCGGAACGUACCCUGUCGUGGGGGAUAACACAUCGAAAGAUGUGCUAAUACCGCAUACGACCUGAGGGUGAAAGUGGGGGAUCGCAAGACCUCACGUUAUUCGAGCGGCCGACGUCUGAUUAGCUAGUUGGUGGGGUAAAGGCUCACCAAGGCGACGAUCAGUAGCGGGUCUGAGAGGAUGAUCCGUCACACUGGAACUGAGACACGGUCCAGACUCCUACGGGAGGCAGCAGUGGGGAAUUUUGGACAAUGGGGGCAACCCUGAUCCAGCCAUUCCGCGUGAGUGAAGAAGGCCUUCGGGUUGUAAAGCUCUUUCAGCCGGAAAGAAAUUGCUUCUAUUAAUACUAGGAGUAGAUGACGGUACCGGAAGAAGAAGCACCGGCUAACUACGU
rnacentral:rRNA from 1 species